ACAACCCUACUGUGUUCGUGACGAGCUGACUUGGUUUGAGCCAACACCGACACAUUGGGAGCCUGAUCUCCGGCCGUGGAUUGCACGCCCCCGCCCGGUUGGGUGCCAGGGGACGCAAGAGACGGUCGGGAGGGCACCCACCUGCGAGAGAGCAGGUUCAAAAACCGUCGGCGACUCACGACGCGGUGGGGUGUA
rnacentral:other from 1 species